rnacentral:lncRNA from 1 species
GCCGCCGGUCCCCUCACGCCCGUCCGCCAUGUUGGCCGUGGCUGUGGCCGGGCUCGGGCUCCGCCGUGUGCCUCCGUUCCUUCGGGCAGGGGCUGACAGGCGUGUUGAGGCCACCUCGGAGCCCCUCGCAGGAGAAGGAUGAUCUAGGUGGAAGGAGCCCAGCUUGGUGUGGUCCUCAUUCCUGCUGUUAUGUGUGAAGAGAGAUGGAGAGAAAUAGAUCCAGAGGCCCAGAGAUGCUCAUGGAACACAGGCAGCAUGUCCAAAGUAAUCCCAUCUGCAGGAGCCUACAAGAAGCCAUUCCUUCUUCUGGAGCCUAAAAGGGACAACAAUUUCCUUCACCAGCAGUCUCAUGGCUCCAGGGAGGUGAAAAUGCCCUGGGCCUGGAACCGGAUCCUCCUCUCCGAGAGUGGAUGUUUGCAGAAGGGGUUUGCUCCCAUCCCUGUGACUUUCCAGCUGCCUGGAUGCAGGAGCAGCACUGCUGGGCUGCCUCAAGCCCACUGCAGGUGGGGAAGGAUGAAUAACCAUGCUGGGACAGUGAGGAGGGACCAUGGAGCUGGCUGAGUGUUGUCAAAGAUUUUCACACUAUAAAAACUUCCUUUUUGUUUCUUUAAGGCAUUUUAAUGGAUUUUGUACAUUGGAG